rnacentral:rRNA from 1 species
AGCAGUCGCCACGGGAAUACGAAGGGGGCUAGCGUUGCUCGGAAUCACUGGGCGUAAAGGGUGCGUAGGCGGGUCUUUAAGUCAGGGGUGAAAUCCUGGAGCUCAACUCCAGAACUGCCUUUGAUACUGAAGAUCUUGAGUUCGGGAGAGGUGAGUGGAACUGCGAGUGUAGAGGUGAAAUUCGUAGAUAUUCGCAAGAACACCAGUGGCGAAGGCGGCUCACUGGCCCGAUACUGACGCUGAGGCACGAAAGCGUGGGGAGCAAACAGGAUUAGAUACCCCCGUAGUCCCUGUCUCUUAUAA